rnacentral:rRNA from 1 species
AGGCCUAACACAUGCAAGUCGAACGGUAACAGGAAACAGCUUGCUGCUUCGCUGACGAGUGGCGGACGGGUGAGUAAUGUCUGGGAAACUGCCUGAUGGAGGGGGAUAACUACUGGAAACGGUAGCUAAUACCGCAUAACGUCGCAAGACCAAAGAGGGGGACCUUCGGGCCUCUUGCCAUCGGAUGUGCCCAGAUGGGAUUAGCUAGUAGGUGGGGUAACGGCUCACCUAGGCGACGAUCCCUAGCUGGUCUGAGAGGAUGACCAGCCACACUGGAACUGAGACACGGUC